rnacentral:rRNA from 1 species
UGGGGAAUAUUGGACAAUGGGCGCAAGCCCGAUCCAGCCAUGCCGCGUGAGUGAUGACGGCCUUAGGGUUGUAAAGCUCUUUUCUCCGGGACGAUAAUGACGGUACCGGAGGAAUAAGCCCCGGCUAACUUCGUGCCAGCAGCCGCGGUAAUACGAAGGGGGCUAGCGUUUCUCGGAAUCACUGGGCGUAAAGGGCGCGUAGGCGGCCAUUCAAGUCGGGGUGAAAGCCUGUGGCUCAACCACAGAAUUGCCUUCGAUACUGUUUGGCUUGAGUUUGGUAGAGGUUGGUGGAACUGCGAGUGUAGAGGUGAAAUUCGUAGAUAUUCGCAAGAACACCAGUGGCGAAGGCGGCCAACUGGACCAAUACUGACGCUGAGGCGCGAAAGCGUGGGGAGCAAACA